rnacentral:rRNA from 1 species
UACGGAGGGGGCUAGUGUUGUUCGGAAUUACUGGGCGUAAAGGGCGCGUAGGCGGUCAGCACAAGUCAGUUGUGAAAUCUCCGAGCUUAACUCGGAAAGGUCAACUGAUACUGUGCGACUAGAGUGCAGAAGGGGCAACUGGAAUUCUCGGUGUAGCGGUGAAAUGCGUAGAUAUCGAGAGGAACACCUGCGGCGAAGGCGGGUUGCUGGGCUGACACUGACGCUGAGGCGCGAAAGCUAGGGGAGCGAACGGG